UGGGGGAUAUUGCACAAUGGGCGAAAGCCUGAUGCAGCGACGCCGCGUGGGGGAUGAAGGCCUUCGGGUUGUAAACUUCUUUUGCUCUGAACAAGGCAUGCCUUUGGGGUGUGUUGAGUGUAGGGGUUGAUUAGCGCCGGCUAACUACGUGCCAGCAGCCGCGGUAAUACGUAGGGCGCGAGCGUUGUCCGGAAUUAUUGGGCGUAAAGGGCUUGUAGGUGGCUGGUUGCGUCUGUCGUGAAAGCUCAUGGCUUAACUGUGGGUUUGCGGUGGGUACGGGCUGGCGUGAGUGCAGGAGGGGAGGCUGGAAUUCCUGGUGUAGCGGUGGAAUGCGCAGAUAUCAGGAGAAAUACCGGUAGCGAAGGCGGGUCUCUGAGCAGUUACAGACGCUGAAGAGCGAAAGCGUGGGGAGCGAGCAGG
rnacentral:rRNA from 1 species